rnacentral:rRNA from 1 species
CUUACCGAGUUUACAACUCCCAAACCCAAUGUGAACGUUACCAAACUGUUGCCUCGGCGGGAUCUCUGCCCCGGGUGCGUCGCAGCCCCGGACCAAGGCGCCCGCCGGAGGACCAACCAAAACUCUUAUUGUAUACCCCCUCGCGGGUUUUUUACUAUCUGAGCCAUCUCGGCGCCCCUCGUGGGCGUUUCGAAAAUGAAUCAAAACUUUCAACAACGGAUCUCUUGGUUCUGGCAUCGAUGGAAGAACGCAGCGAAAUGCGAUAAGUAAUGUGGAAUUGCAGAAUUCCAGUGGAAUCAUCGAAUCUUUGAACGCACAUUGGCGCCCGCCAGUAUUCUGGCGGGCAUGCCUGUCCCGAGCGUCAUUUCAACCCUCGAACCCCUCCCGGGGGGUCGGCGUUGGGGAUCGGCCCUUUACGGGGCCGGCCCCGAAAUACAGUGGCGGUCUCGCCGCAGCCUCUCCUGCGCAGUAGUUUGCACACUCGCAUCGGGAGCGCGGCGCGUCCACAGCCGUUAAACACCCCAACUUCUGAAAUGUUGACCUCGGAUCAGGUAGGAAUACCCGCUGAACUUAAGCAUAUCAUAAGCGGAGGAAAUCGA